GACGAACGCUGGCGGCGCGCCUAACACAUGCAAGUCGAACGAGAGAGAGGGAGCUUGCUUCCUCGAUCGAGUGGCGAACGGGUGAGUAACGCGUGAGGAACCUGCCUCAAAGAGGGGGACAACAGUUGGAAACGACUGCUAAUACCGCAUAAGCCCACGGCUCGGCAUCGAGCAGAGGGAAAAGGAGCAAUCCGCUUUGAGAUGGCCUCGCGUCCGAUUAGCUAGUUGGUGAGGUAACGGCCCACCAAGGCGACGAUCGGUAGCCGGACUGAGAGGUUGAACGGCCACAUUGGGACUGAGACACGGCCCAGACUCCUACGGGAGGCAGCAGUGGGGAAUAUUGCACAAUGGGGGAAACCCUGAUGCAGCGACGCCGCGUGGAGGAAGAAGGUCUUCGGAUUGUAAACUCC
rnacentral:rRNA from 1 species